rnacentral:lncRNA from 1 species
ACUAAAUGACAACAGGUGUACGUUCCCACUUCACUUGCCACACCUAUUAAUUUCGAGUUCUCGACUGUGUAUUAAGGUUAGCCUAUUGAACUUGUUAAUCGAUAUUCUCUCUAUUUCUAAUUUCAAGGAGCGAUCAUUCUAUUUGACUUUUACACUAACCUCGAUAUCUGUAAAUAUUGAAAUUCAAAUUCUAAAAAAACAAAUUGUAAAAAAUAACAAGGAG